UUCUUAAAAUAAGAUGUUUGGUUAGAACUAUUGAUUGUUUUCACUUUUGUUAUCUUAGCAGAAUGACGCAUCAUCCAUCAAAAAUGUGAGUGUGAGGACGGUGGGACCAUUCUGGCACACUGAGCAGCAGGGCCCUCCGAGCCCUCAGAUGUCGUCCAGCCAGGUGUGUGGGGGCCACUUGCCAUGCACAGCUUCUCUCAGCAGAGGUUGGUGAACCGUACUCCAACAGAAAGGGGAAAUAAGACUAAUGGCCUUCAUGUUCCUACCAAUCUUACAAGAUCCUACUCUGUGUUACCUUUCCCAUGGAGACGUCAUUAAAUAUUCC
rnacentral:lncRNA from 1 species